rnacentral:rRNA from 1 species
GACGUAGGGCGCAAGCGUUGUCCGGAAUUAUUGGGCGUAAAGAGCUCGUAGGCGGACUGUCACGUCUGCUGUGAAAAGCUAGGGCUUAACCCUGGCCUUGCAGUGGAUACGGGCAGACUAGAGGUAGGUAGGGGAGAAUGGAAUUCCCGGUGUAGCGGUGAAAUGCGCAGAUAUCGGGAGGAACACCGGUGGCGAAGGCGGUUCUCUGGGCCUUACCUGACGCUGAGGAGCGAAAGCGUGGGGAGCGAACAGG